rnacentral:sRNA from 1 species
UGAGAACCACGUGGCUGUCAAGACAAGUAACAACACUCUGAUCUUUGAGACUUGGACUAACGAAUCAAACAUCCACCCUGACAUCACACCAUUUAGUGCCUUUUCUGCCUCAGGAGAUGUGCAGGGUGAUAUAGUAUAUUGUAACUUUGGACGCAGAUCUGAUUAUAAGUGGCUAAGUGAUCAGGGCAUUACAACUGAGGGUGCCAUACAUUUAAUCCGUUAUGGCAAAGUUCCCCCGAGCAAUAAGAUCAGACUAGCUGAAGAGUAUGGUGCCAAGGGUGUCAUUUUGUACCCUGACCCAAAGGACUAUUGUAAUGGUCAGACUAAUGUCUCGGGUAGCUGGUGGCUUCAAGGAGACCAAGUACCAAGUGAACAUGUGAGAUACUGGUUGACAGGAGAUCCUAGUACACCUGACUACCCUGCCUUAAAUGGUGUCCCACGUGUUGUGCCAUCUGGUGCUAGCAAACCAAACAUCCCAGUAUAUCCAAUCUCAUAUAAUGAUGCAGAGACUUU